UUUUUCUUUAUCUAUU
rnacentral:sRNA from 1 species